GCAAACUUGGUCAUUUAGAGGAAGUAAAAGUCGUAACAAGGUUUCCGUAGGUGAACCUGCGGAAGGAUCAUUAUUAAUUGUGAUUCGUUGCCUUUGGUGCUGGCUCAGCUCAGCUGUGCAUGUGCACAUUGGUGACUUUCAUCCAAAUACCUUUGUGAACCUUUGGCCUCUUGCUAGCUUCGGUUGGCGGGGGAUUUACAAAUUACCUCGAAUGUAAUGAAAUAAUUCGUGCGCAAGCACUUAUGUACAACUUUCAACAACGGAUCUCUUGGCUCUCGCAUCGAUGAAGAACGCAGC
rnacentral:misc_RNA from 1 species